AGAAUUCCUUAUUACUCAUUUUUUUCUUAGGCUAACGCAAGUAAUUGUCGACCACAAUAAUGAGGCGGCGGCGGCUUUACCAUGGUAACAGGGAAGUCCUAUGGUAAACAACCGUGGCAUUUUCAUUUUAGUUCCGCCCUGUUACGGGAGGGAAACGCUUGGCCACGCCCCAGCGGCGUGCGUUUUAUUCUUUUGCAAAAGCUGUGAACCUUCAGGGCGACAUGAGGAAAGACAGUCGCGGCAGCCUAGAGGAUGAGGGGCGCUCAACGUCAAGGCGGCCACAUAGCUGAGGAGAUGGGGAGGUUGUAGCAAAAUGAAGACAGAAGGUGUUGUCUGAUGCUGUUGUAGGUAUUAUGACUGAACCUCAGUUAACACAAGGAAAUAGGUGCUGUAUGAAGAGGUAGGGGAAAAACUAGGAAAGAUGCAUUUCUACACAAAUGGGACUAAGUGUUAUUUGGGGGCUUUGAGCAGAAGAGAAAGGGUAUGUAGUGGAGAAUCAAAGAAUUUGGGAAACCACGGGCAAGAUUUGUGGGGCAUUGGCAGAAAGUUUUGUGGUAAAGUCCUGAGUUCUUAUCCAGUUUUGUUAAUGGCACUAAGAAUAUUGGAUAAGGUACCAGUGAAGCAAACAAAGACAUUCAAGAUUGUGAGGGCACAGAGACUUGGGUUAUUUAUCCUGGCCAUGAAAGGUCAUACUUCCAAGGCUGGAGUAAGUGUUGCUUAUGUUUGGUCCACAUUUAAAUUUCCUCAGACAGUCAUGGAAUGAAAUCUCCCUUUGGAAGGCAGAAACCUAUGGAUAGACAACAUUUCACAAAAAAGAUUCCAAAUAGAACUGUAGCAUUACCCAAGUUAGGAGGAAUCCUCUGGUGCCUGCAAGACAUAAGGUAACUUGGGGCCCUCAGAAAGCACGUGAAUGUUGACACAGAUCCUGGUCAGUAUCUGGCUAUAGGUACCAAUUGGCUAGCUUUCCAGAAAGAAACAUCAUUCCUAGGUUUUGCACUACUGCAUUAUUACAGUGGUUCUGCACCAAUAUUUAUACUUUCUGAGAAUGUUUGAGGGUUCAGGUUUGAGGCUACUCUACAGAUAAUUGUCUAACCCAUCAAAGCUGGUUAUUCUGGUCUUUCAGCUUUAGCAUUUUCAUUUAUAUUUCUUAUGUAACUACUUCUCAGUUCAUGCUCAGUGAAUAUAUUUCCUGUAUUCCUUUCCCAGAAUCCUGUUCCUUCAAAGGAGGUUCAGGAUUGUUCACCUGCUCAAAGGCUGCCUCAUUAAAUAUGUUGCUAGGUAGCAGGCCAGGGAGUUGGGUGGUCAGUUGAAUUGGAGGAUUUCCUUUGUUCUUGGCAGUGGCAUGCUGACCUCUUGUUGCUGAAUGAGGACUGUUUCCAAACCAAGCAUUGGGAAAAACUGAGUAAGAGGGGAAGAAGUCUUUUGAGUUUUUUCUCUAGGAGCCACCAGGCUUGUCUGAAACUUUUGUCUGUUUGGGGGCUUGUUCUGUUUCAGAACCAGAACUCUGGGAUACCAUUGCCUUGGCACAUGGAAUUCAGGGCCUAGCAAGAUGAAGGUGGAUAUCACUGGAUAGCACUUAAACUCCAACAGUAUGCUGCUAGGAUCCAGUCCAGGACACUACGUUAGAUUGUUCUCAUGUCUCCUUUGGUUCCUGUUGAUUGUGGCAGUUUCUCAGAAUUUCUUUGUUUUGAUGACCUUGACAGUAUUGAGGAGUACUAUUCAG